UACAGAGGGUGCUAGCGUUGUUCGGAAUCAUUGGGCGUAAAGGGCGUGUAGGCGGUUUGUUAAGUCAUGUGUGAAAUCCCUCGGCUCAACCGGGGAACGACGCAUGAAACUGGCAAGCUAGAGUACCAAAGAGGGGGGUGGAAUUCCCGGUGUAGCGGUGAAAUGCGUAGAUAUCAGGAGGAACACCGGUGGCGAAGGCGGGUCUCUGGGCCGAUACUGACGCUGAGGAGCGAAAGCGUGGGGAGCGAACAGG
rnacentral:rRNA from 1 species